GUCGUAACAAGGUUUCCGUAGGUGAACCUGCGGAAGGAUCAUUAUCGAAUAAACUUGCACAGGCUGUUGCUGGCCCUUGAGGGGGUAUGUGCACGCUUGUCAUCUUUAUCAUUUCUCCCAACUGUGCACAUAUUGUAGACUUUUUUUUGAAUUCCUUAUCAGAAUUCAAGUUGGGGGACUGCUGUGCUUAACAGUCGGCUUUCCCUUGUAUUUUUCAGGUCUAUGUCAUUUUUCACAACCUCUAUAAUAUGUUUAGAAUGUUGAAUCAGGUCCUUGUACCUAUAUAAAAAGUUAUAAAAAACUUUCAACAACGGAUCUCUUGGUUCUGGCAUCGAUGAAGAACGCAGCGAAAUGCGAUAAGUAAUGCGAAUUGCAGAAUUCCGUGAGUCAUCGAAUCUUUGAACGCACAUUGCGCCCUUUGGUAUUCCGAAGGGCAUGCCUGUCCGAGCGUCAUUAUCAACCCUCAAGCCCGGCUUGUCGUUGAAUCUCACCGGUGGCGACGCCGGUGGAUUCCAAAGAUAGUGGCAGAGUUCCCGGACCCUGGAUGCAGCGAGCUUUCUCCAGCACGCGUCCCGGCGGUCGGUGGGCUCCGUCUCAACCCCUGAAGAUUUUUCACUCUGGUUGACCUCGGAUCAGGUAGGGAUACCCGCUGAACUUAAGCAUAUCAAUAAGCGGAGGAAAAGAAACCAACCGGGAUUGCCUCAGUAACGGCGAGUGAAGCGGCAACAGCUCAAAUUUGAAAUCUGGCCCCUUUGGGGGUCCGAGUUGUAAUUUGUAGAGGAUGCUUCGGGCAAGGCCGCGGUCUAAUUUGCGUGGAACCGCAAGUCACAGAGGGUGAGAAUCCCGUCUAGGACCGUGGGCCGCGUCCAUGUGAAGCUCCUUCGACGAGUCGAGUUGUUUGGGAAUGCAGCUCUAAAUGGGUGGUAAAUUUCAUCUAAAGCUAAAUAUUGGCCAGAGACCGAUAGCGCACAAGUAGAGUGAUCGAAAGAUGAAAAGCACUUUGAAAAGAGAGUUAAACAGUAUGUGAAAUUGUUGAAAGGGAAGCGCUUGCGAUCAGACUUGCGGGUGACGGCUCCCCCCCCCUUCGGGGGUGGCUACUCCGUCACUUCCAGGCCAGCAUCGGUUUGGGUGGUCGGUCAAAGACCCCGGGAAUGUAUCUACCCUCCGGGGUCGACUUAUAGCCCGGGGUGCAAUGCGGCCCACCUGGACCGAGGAACGCGCUUCGGCUCGGAUGCUGGCGUAAUGGUCGUAAGCGGCC
rnacentral:rRNA from 1 species